UGCCAGCAGCCGCGGUAAUACGAAGGGAGCUAGCGUUGUUCGGAAUUACUGGGCGUAAAGCGCGCGUAGGCGGAUUGAUCAGUCAGGGGUGAAAUCCCGGGGCUUAACCCCGGAACUGCCUUUGAUACUGUCAAUCUAGAGUUCGAGAGAGGUGAGUGGAAUUCCGAGUGUAGAGGUGAAAUUCGUAGAUAUUCGGAGGAACACCAGUGGCGAAGGCGGCUCACUGGCUCGAUACUGACGCUGAGGUGCGAAAGUGUGGGGAGCAAACAGGAUUAGAUA
rnacentral:rRNA from 1 species